UGGUCAUUUCAAAGAAGGCCCGUGGAGUUGUAAAACCAAGAGCUCUUAACACUGUGACCAAAUAUUGAAGUUCUCUAUAGAAUGAUACAACACUAAACAGUUUUCCUGAGGAGAAGUACAA
ensembl:snoRNA